CAGCCGCACGGGAAUACGUAGGGUGCAAGCGUUAAUCGGAAUUACUGGGCGUAAAGCGUGCGCAGGCGGUUAUAUAAGACAGAUGUGAAAUCCCCGGGCUCAACCUGGGAACUGCAUUUGUGACUGUAUAGCUAGAGUACGGCAGAGGGGGAUGGAAUUCCGCGUGUAGCAGUGAAAUGCGUAGAUAUGCGGAGGAACACCGAUGGCGAAGGCAAUCCCCUGGGCCUGUACUGACGCUCAUGCACGAAAGCGUGGGGAGCAAACAGGAUUAGAUACCCCGGUAGUCCCUGUCUCUUAUACA
rnacentral:rRNA from 1 species